GACGAACGCUGGCGGCGUGCUUAACACAUGCAAGUCGAACGGAAAGGCCCUGCUUUUGUGGGGUGCUCGAGUGGCGAACGGGUGAGUAACACGUGAGUAACCUGCCCUUGACUUUGGGAUAACUUCAGGAAACUGGGGCUAAUACCGGAUAGGAGCUCCUGCUGCAUGGUGGGUGUUGGAAAGUUUCGGCGGUUGGGGCUGGACUCGCGGCUUAUCAGCUUGUUGGUGGGGUAGUGGCUUACCAAGGCUUUGACGGAUAGCCGGCCUGAGAGGGUGACCGGCCACAUUGGGACUGGGAUACGGCCCAGACUCCUACGGGAGGCAGCAGUGGGGAAUAUUGCACAAUGGGAGGAAGCCUGAUGCAGCAACGCCGCGUGCGGGAUGACGGCCUUCGGGUUGUAAACCGCUUUCGCCUGUGACGAAGCGUGAGUGACGGUAAUGGGUAAAGAAGCACCGGCUAACUACGUG
rnacentral:rRNA from 1 species